AUUGAACGCUGGCGGCAUGCCUUACACAUGCAAGUCGAACGGCAGCACGGGUGCUUGCACCUGGUGGCGAGUGGCGAACGGGUGAGUAAUACAUCGGAACAUGUCCUGUAGUGGGGGAUAGCCCGGCGAAAGCCGGAUUAAUACCGCAUACGAUCUACGGAUGAAAGCGGGGGACCUUCGGGCCUCGCGCUAUAGGGUUGGCCGAUGGCGGAUUAGCUAGUGGGUGGGGUAAAGGCCUACCAAGGCGACGAUCAGUAGCUGGUCUGAGAGGACGACCAGCCACACUGGAACUGAGACACGGCCCAGACUCCUACGGGAGGCAGCAGUGGGGAAUUUUGGACAAUGGGCGAAAGCCUGAUCCAGCAAUGCCGCGUGUGUGAAGAAGGCCUUCGGGUUGUAAAGCACUUUUGUCCGGAAAGAAAUCCUUGGCCCUAAUACGGUCGGGGGAUGACGGUACCGGAAGAAUAAGCACCGGCUAACUACGUG
rnacentral:rRNA from 1 species